GCAUAAGAUUGUAGUAUCGCAUGAUAUAGCGAUUAAAGGAGCAAUCCGCUAUAAGAUGGACCCGCGUCGCAUUAGCUAGUUGGUGAGGUAAUGGCUCACCAAGGCGACGAUGCGUAGCCGACCUGAGAGGGUGAUCGGCCACAUUGGGACUGAGACACGGCCCAGACUCCUACGGGAGGCAGCAUG
rnacentral:rRNA from 1 species